CUACGUGCCAGCAGCCGCGGUAAUACGUAGGGUGCGAGCGUUAAUCGGAAUUACUGGGCGUAAAGCGAGCGCAGACGGUUACUUAAGCAGGAUGUGAAAUCCCCGGGCUCAACCUGGGAACUGCGUUCUGAACUGGGUAGCUAGAGUAUGUCAGAGGGGGGUAGAAUUCCACGUGUAGCAGUGAAAUGCGUAGAGAUGUGGAGGAAUACCGAUGGCGAAGGCAGUCCCCUGGGAUAAUACUGACGUUCAUGCUCGAAAGCGUGGGUAGCAAACAGGAUUAGAUACCCUGGUAGUCCACGCCCUAAACGAUGUCGAUUAGCUGUUGGGCAGCUUGACUGCUUAGUAGCGUAGCUAACGCGUGAAAUCGACCGCCUGGGGAGUACGGUCGCAAGAUUAAAACUCAAAGGAAUUGACGGGGGCCCGCACAAGCGGUGGAGUAUGUGGUUUAAUUCGACGCAACGCGAAGAACCUUACCAGGUCUUGACAU
rnacentral:rRNA from 1 species